AGAGUUUGAUCAUGGCUCAGGACGAACGCUGGCGGCGUGCUUAACACAUGCAAGUCGAACGAUGAAGUUAUGACGGAGGCUUCGGCCGACUGAAUGAUGGAUUAGUGGCGGACGGGUGAGUAACGCGUGAGUAACCUGCCUUUCAGAGAGGAAUAACAUUUGGAAACGAAUGGUAAUACCACAUAACAUUACGUUCUCGCAUGGGGAUGUAAUCAAAGAUUUAUCGCUGAGAGAUGGACUCGCGUCCGAUUAGCUGGAUGGUGAGGUAACGGCCCACCAUGGCGACGAUCGGUAGCCGGACUGAGAGGUUGAACGGCCACAUUGGGACUGAGACACGGCCCAGACUCCUACGGGAGGCAGCAGUGGGGAAUAUUGCACAAUGGGGGAAACCCUGAUGCAGCAACGCCGCGUGAAGGAAGACGGUCUUCGGAUUGUAAACUUUUGUUCUUGGUGAAAAAAAUGACGGUAGCCAAGGAGGAAGCCACGGCUAACUACGUGCCAGCAGCCGCGGUAAUACGUAGGUGGCA
rnacentral:rRNA from 1 species